rnacentral:rRNA from 1 species
CCUACGGGUGGCAGCAGUGGGGAAUAUUGGGCAAUGGCCGCAAGGCUGACCCAGCAACGUCGCGUGAAGGAAGACGGCCCUCGGGUUGUAAACUUCUUUUGUCAGGGACGAAGAAAGUGACGGUACCUGCCGAAUAAGCCACGGCUAACUACGUGCCAGCAGCCGCGGUAAUACGUAGGUGGCAAGCGUUAUCCGGAUUUACUGGGUGUAAAGGGCGGGUAGGGGGGACGGCAAGUCAGAUGUGAAAUUCCAGGGCUCAACCCUGGACCGGCAUUGGAAACUGUAUUUCUUGAGUGAGGGGGAGGCAGGCGGAAUGCCGUGUGUAGCGGUGGAAUGCGUAGAUAUACGGAGGAACACCGGUGGCGAAGGCGGCCUGCUGGAGAUUAACUGACGCUGAGGCGCGAAAGCGUGGGGAGCAAACAGGAUUAGAUACCCGGGUAGUC